CAGCGUUUGUUUUCAUCUUUUUUUCUGGAAGACUGUCAAGAAGAAAAAAAAAAGGCUUGUCAGGCUUUUAUCGGUCACAUAACUCCAGAAUGCCCCGCCCACAUUCCUUUCCUCUGGGAGAAAAACACCGCAGCGCAGCAGCAAGACUGAAAAAAAUAUCCCUCAGGAAUUCGUCAGUAAAUCAGUCACUUGAAUUUCGGUUCAUUGCCUGAGUUGACUGACUUGAGAGAGAGCUGAUGCGCAGCUCUGCUCUGGAGACUGUGCUGUUCUAACAGGCUGCCUGUAUGAAGUCGCGUGUAUAAAUGCAGCCAUUAGCUGAUGCCAUAGCGCUUUAUCUGUGCAACAUGCCAGUCAUGGCAGUAUAUUGUAAAUGGAUGCCAAAUGUUAUGGCUUGAAGUGUUACCGUGUAUCUACUCCUAUACGCCUAUUUUAUCAGAGGUGGAAAAUGUCGGUUCAGAAAUGAUAAGUCCACCCCAAUAUUUUGUUCCAAUCAGCAGGGUUUGCUAAAUAGUGCAAUUCUUCUGCCAAGAAGCAGAGGUAAUUAGUGAAAUCAGCUGGCUGAGUUAAUGGGUGAAAGAAACACACGGCAGGUCUUUUACUUUCUGACCCCUGGACUUUUCCUCCCCUGCUUAUUUUCUUCGCAAAAUGCUUUUUGUAUUUAUUGUAUUUCGCAAAAUGAGAGCCAGCUUUGUGCCAUCCUGCAGGCAUGUCAACCACAGACAGCCCUGGCAUCCAUCCAUCCACUGGCACAGAGCCUUAACAGGAUGAGCCACCCAGCACACCGCUCGUAUAAGGAUAUGAUUCCACCUCGUCUUAUAUUUAUUUAUUUCGGGUUGCUUCCUCCUUCCUUCAUGAACCCGUCGCUCUUGGAGGAACUUCCAGAACAUUCUUUCGGGGAGUUCCUCCUUCCUCCAAUCAAGGGACGGACGGACUGACCGCCGUCACUGGUGAAGAAAAGGGCAUUGCCGUGAAUCUUUGAAAUGACGAGACCAACUCCAUUUCUGAUUUAUUCGUUCUGGACUAGCAUCCAGCCAACAAUGUUUAUUUCAGGCCCUGUAAAUACAAUGGAUGAGAAGCAGUUAAUAAGGACAUCAUUUUAGAUCAAUACUUACUGCAAAUUAUAAUACAUAAUUGUCUCUCAUGGUAACCUUAUGUUAAAAAAAUCUCCCGUUUGUCUUUUAGACAGUACAUACACCUCAUUUAUGAUUAUCUGCGUACAUAUUUCAUGUGCGGUAAAUAUGCUAUAUUGCAUUGCUGUUGAGUGUGUCCAGCUCAACCCUGUAGCCAUUGUCAAAAAUGCGGCAAUUGUAAAAAAAAAGUUAUAAAAAAUGUAGGAUUUUUUUUUUUUUUUUUUUUUUAAGAGAAAAGUACCCAUGGUGCCAUGAAAAGUACCAAAGAGGUAAAAACCAACAGGUAAUUCCCAGUGGUCAGUAAUAAUUCUACCGUUGGAAUUUACCAGCUUUGCCAGGCUGGGGAUGAUUUUGCAAAAAAAAACCAAAAACAAUAAUUACCUAGUAUAACAUUUAUGCUGUAAAUGUUUAACAAGCCUAGCAUGCCUUUUUGAUUCAGUGGAAGUUCCAAAGUCUAACCACGCAGCAAACUCAAUGCGCCUCCUCCUUUAUUACAGAGAAAUAAAUGCAGGUGCAACUGUG